GUCACAGUUGGUUUAUAAACCAGAUGUAUUUACAAACCAAAUUGUCUUUGUGAAAAAAAUGCAGACAGACCAGCCUUGCAAAGGGCCUUUGCCAAGGGGCCCGGGUGCUUCCCGGGGCAGCAGGAGUCCACCGGUGCGCUCGGGGAAGACGCUUCCCAAAAGGAAACGAAUGUAGAGUGUUUGGGUAGAUUUGCCAACUGCAAAUAAUACACAGAGAAAACUCCCCAGGUCUAGUCCCGAUCUUCCUCCCCAAACCACCAACUGAAAUUGAUACACUUCCGUGCGGUCCUCCUUCUACAUGUGCGCAGUCACGCUCGUGUGCACACACACCCUCUUCAUGUGCUCACUGGGGCAAACGUACUCUCCUGCGGUUGCUUCUUUCACAGGCCAGCACGACAGGCAGCAGGUGCACGAGGGGCCAGCAGGCCCGCGGUCCCCUCGCUGCUCUGGGCUCGCGACAAAAUGAUACAAUGACCGCAAGCCCCAGGGCUUUUGGGAGUCCUGUGGGACCGCCACCUUUCUACUGUAGUCGCCCAAGUGUCAUUCACAAUGCGCUGGAAGGCAACGGGGAAGAACUCUCCACCCCAAGUGGUUUGAGGCCAGGCGGAGGCAGCUCCCCGCGGGGAUGCUCUGGACUCCAGGGCCCCACCCCGGACAUUUACACCAGUCCUGAUCGCUGCCUCACAGUGAAACGCUGCCGAGAAUAUCCUUGCACGUGCAUCUAGUUCAUGUUGGUGAAAAAUCUUUUACACAGAUUUCUAAGAGAAGAAUUGCUGAUUCAAAGGGUAUGGACGUUAUAAAACCUCGCAGAAGAGCCAAAUCACCCUCCAAAAAGGCUUCACCGGUGAGGAUCUACACCAGGGCGCGCUGGGGCCCCGAGUGUGAGAUUUUCCACCUGAGAUCCAAACUCAAUACUGACUUGAUCUGCUUCUUCAGGCUCCUGGGGAGGCCGCGUGUUACCUGCACCGUCAGCUAGGCGAUCUCCUGGGACUCGCCAUCCUGGCCCUUGUGUGUGACCUGCACACGCCACCUGGGGUAUUGAUCCUCCUCACCUGUCGGACAUGUCGUCACCACUUGCACCAGUCUGUCACUAGCUUUUAUCUGUGUUUACGAUGUUGUUUCCUGAGAGACAUUUUUUUUUUUUUUUUUUAGAUUUUAUUUAUUUAUUUAUAGAGACACACAGAGAGAGAGGCAGAGACACAGGCAGAGGAGGAGCAGGCUCCAUGCAGGGAGCCCGACGUGGGACUCGAUCCCGGGUCUCCAGGAUCACACCUGAGCUGCAGGCAGUGCCAAACCGCUGUGCCACCGGGCCCGGGUCUAAUCCUGGAGACCCGGGAUCGAGUCCCACGUCGGGCUCCCUGCAUGGAGCCUGCUUCUCCCUCUGCCUGUGUCUCUGCCUCUCAGUCUCUCUCUCUCUGAAUAAAUAAAUAAAAAAAAAAAACUUAUAAAAAAUAAAAAAAAAAAGAAGACAGGAGGAGAAUGGAAUUUAGGAGGAGAAUCAGAGCGAUAAAUGCUGACAUUGCUGCAGUUGCCGACCUAAAGGACAGGUGUGAGGGAGGAGAGCCAAGGCAGGUGGGUCUUCCAAAGAAACAAGGUUGUUUUUUGUUUGUUUGUUGUUGCUAUUGUUUUUAGGGACAAGGUUUUUAUUGAACGUGGCAGAAGAUGGUCUGGAAGUGUGUCUGACGAACAGGCAAAGUCAGCCUUGCUCCUCACUUGCAACCUGGAGGGAGGAUGGGGAAGGGCCCUCAUGGAGCAGGUCCUGAGGCAGAGGCAGUCCUUGCCGGGGCU
rnacentral:lncRNA from 1 species